UUAUAUAGACCAGGCUGACCUUGAAUUCCUGAGUACCAUACCACCAUGCUCUGCUUAUAUGUCUUUUGAAACACAGUUGUUUGUCUUCAUUCAUUUAUUUACCUUAGUCAUAGUCUGUUAUAGAAGAGUAGGUGAAUAGCAAUUGAUCAUGGGCCAGCCAAUCCUGAGACACUGGGUGGCCAUGCAAUUCUGGAGGGACAGGAGAUACCCUCUUCUCCCUUGGCAUAUUGACAGGGAAACAAGUUCAGGUCCCUAAAGCUGGAGUGGGGAAGAUAGUGGCUAGGAGGCAUCCCAUGCAGUAAUCCAACUGAUGAUAGAAAAAUAUGUGGGAAUUCUGAAGUGGGUAUACUCAGAGACGGGGUAUGCCUUAGAAAGCAUUGUGUCUCUAGCAGCGUCCACUGAACACUUGUUAGCCCUUGGAGACCCAGGGGAGACGCCUCAUGCCAGGCUGCAUCCAUAUGUACAGUAGUUCUCUGAAGUGACCAGCCUCUGACAUCUUUGAAAAUGGAAGAAAACAAGAAGAUAUAUUUAAUGGUUUUUGAAAUGAUCCUGAACAUAAUGCUGCCACAUGCAUACUUCUAUAUGUACCUCUAGAAAAGUAUUAUCUUUGUGCCUAAUUAUUUGGUCACUAUAGGAUGGACUUUUUUUUACAGUAUUAAUCAUAUUAAUCUACACACGUGGAGGGCUCUUCAUCUUCUGCUGUCUUCUUUAAUUUCUUCAUUGAUUUAGAGGUUUUAUUUUAUAGGUCUUUCAUUUCCUUGGUGUAUUAUUUUUUCUGUGGCUAUGAUUAAACACUAUGCCCAAAAGUGACUUAUGGAAGAAAUAAUUUAUUUUGGAUUUAUGGUUCCUCGGGGAUUAAAAAGUCCAUUAUGGUAGGGUAUGCAGGACCAGGCAUAGCAGUUGGAGCAGGGAGCUGAGAGCGCACAUCCUCAGCCAUCAGCAAGAAGAAUAGAGAAUAAACUGGACAUAGGGCAAGGCUUUAACUUUUCAAAACCUUCCCACAGUGAUAUACUUCCUCCUGCGAAGACAUACUUCCUUCUUCAGUCUCCCUAAACAGUGUUAGCAACUGGGGACCAAGUAUUUCAAAUACCAGAGCCUAUUGGGGAUAUUUCUCAUCUAAGCCAGCACAGUUGGUUGGGUUUAUUUCAUGACAUUUAUUUAUUAAGUUUAAGUUUAGGGAUAUUAUGAAGGGAGUGUGUCCCUGACUUAUUUGUCAGUAGGUUCACCUUUGGUAUAUAGCAAAGGUACUGAUUGAUUUUGUAAAGUGCCACUUUGCUUGAAAGUCUUUAUCAACUCUAAGAGUUUCCUGAUAGAAUCUUUAGGGUCUUUCAGUUACAGAAAAAAAUUAUAUGCAAAUAGGGAAACUUUGACUUUAAUUUCCUUCUCUUGUCUUUUUUUUUAAAUUUAAUUUUAUAGUUUUACUUAUUCACUUUACAUCCUACUCACUGCCCCCACCCAGUCACCCCUUCCACAAUCCCUUCCUCCAUCCCCUCUCCCCUUCUCCUCUGAGCAGGUGGGGGACCCCUGGGUAUUCCCCACCAUGGCACAUCAAGUCUCUGUGGGGCUAGGGGCUUCCUCUCCCACUAAGGCCAGACAGGGCAGCCCAGCUAGAAGAACAUAUCCCACAGACAGGCAACAGCUUUUGAGAUAGCCCCCACUCCAGUUGUUCUGGACCCACAUGAAGACUACCUCCUGUAACUGGGCAAGAACCCCAGUGGAGACAUAGGGAUACCUACCCACCCACAACUCUUUCAGUCCAGUUUAUCCUUCUUGUGCCUUAAUGCUCUAGUUAGUACUCUAAGCACUAUGAAUUGGAGUGGGGCACACGGAUACUCUUGUUUUGUUCCUGAUUUCAGUAAGACUUGCUCCAACUUUCAUUUAUUUAGCAUAGUGCAUAGUUUAUGUUGAAAGUCCCUCCACCCUAGCCUCUGCAGGAUUUUUAAUCAUGAUUGGUGUUUGAUUUUGUCAAACGUCUUUUCUGUAUCAAUUGAAACCAUCAUGUAUAGAUAUUUUUAAGGUAAAUAUAAUAUGAUUCACUAUUACUUUUUCAAAUAUUCUUUGAUGUCAUUUGCUCCUCCUUGUUCUGUAUCAUUUUUCCACCUCCCUUUCAAGUUAAAACUCCACUCCUUGUUUUCCCAUUUUUCUCUUUAUAUCACUCAUAAUCUAUUACUUCCUUCUCUAGAAAUCACCCCCUACCACCUGGUGGUUCCUUUAAAGUUUCUGGUUAUUACAAUUACUCAAGGUUACAUAUUCACAUCUGAAGAUUUGGAACUAAGAGCCACAGAUGACAGGGAACAUGCAGUGUGUAUCUUUCUGGGUUGGGUUAUUUCAUUCAAUAUAAUAUCUUAUAGUUUCAUUUACCUGCAAAAAUCCACGAUUUAAUUUUUACUCAGGGAUGAACAGUAUUUAUGUUUUCAUUAUUUACUAUUAAUUCAUCAGUUGAAGAACACUGAGGAUGUCUCUAUUUCCUAGCUAUUGUGAAUAGAGUGGCAGUGAACAUUGCUGAGUAAGCAUUUGUGGAAUAGGGUGUUAAAAAUUUUGGACAUUUGCCAAGGAGUACUAUACUUGUGUAAUGUGGUAGACUUAUUUUUAGAUUUGUGGGAAUACUUCAAACUGAUCUUUAGAGUGGCUUCACCAGGUUUUGGAAAACCCCUAACAGUGAAUGAGGGUUCCCUUUUCUCAAAUUCCUUGAUAGUGUUUGUGAUUGAUUGUUUUGUUGAUCUUAGUCAAUCUGACUGUGGUAAGAUGAAAUCUUAGAGUUACUGUAAUUUGAAUUUUCUUAAUUGCUAUGAUUAUAAACACUUUGGGAAUUUUAAAGUCUUUUAUUCUUUGAUAAUUCUGUUUUUAAUUGGUUGUUUUCAUGACUCUAUUUUUGAGUUCUUCAUAUAUUUUGAAUAUUAAUCUUUUGUCAGAUAUAUAGCUAGCCAAGAUUCUCUACUACUCUGAGUUUCUUCUUUACCCACUUGAUUGCUUUCAUGGCUGUAUAGAAACUCUUUAGUUUUAUGAGGAGCUACUUGUCAAUUUUGGCCUUAAUUUCUGGGCAAAGUGAGCCACUUUCUAGAAGUCAUUUCCUAUUCCUAUCUCUUGUAGGAUGCUCCCUAAUAUUUCUUCUAUAGGUUUCAGCAUUCCAGGUUACACAUUGACUUCUUUGAUUCACUUGGAGCCAUUUUUUUUUGACCAUGGUGAUAUAUACAGUUCUAAUUUCAUUCUACAUGGGGACAUCUAGUUUUCCCAGCAUUGAAGAUACUAUCUUUUGUCCUGUGUGUGAUUUUAGCAUCUUUGUUGUAAUGGAGGUCUGGUAGCUGUCUUAGAGACUGCUAAUUUAUUCCUUGGCAUGAACAAAGAAUUGAAUGCCUGGGAAAGACAGCAGACAAAUUUGAAGAUAAGGGAAGAUUUAUAGCGUUAUCCUGCCAGGAUAGUAGAAACCUAAGGCCGGAAGUCUCUCUUUUUUUUUUCUUUUUUUCGGAGCUGGGGACCGAACCCAGGGCUUUGCGCUUGCUAGGCAAGCGCUCUACCACUGAGCUAAAUCCCAACCCUGGCCGGAAGUCUCUUAAACAGAGGCUGACUUCCAUACUUUGUAGGUCUGUUGCUUCCUUCUUUCCCCCUACUUGUCCUGUCUAGAUACCUGCCUCUGUGCCUGCCUGCCGUUUUUCUUCACAGAGCCUUCUGGGAAUAAAAAGCAUCCAUUUCCUAAAGCCUGCUUCUGUUUUCCUUAACUAUGUCCCUCUAACUAUUCUUAAUACCCUGAGGUGGUUUGAAUAAUAAUGCCCCCCUCCCAGACUCAUACAUUUGAAAGCAUAAUCACUAGCAAAUGACACCAUUGAAAGGAUUAUAAGGAUUAGGAAGUGUGACCUUGUUGUAGGCCAUGUGUCACUACGGGUGGGCUUUGAAGUUUCAAAAGCCAACACCAGACCACUGGUGCCUAUAGAUCAGGAUAUAACUCUCAGGUUACUGUUCCAGUGCCUAUCUGCAGUGCUGUCAUUCUUGCUGCCUUGGUGAUAAUGGACUAAACCUCUGUAGCUAUAAGCAAGUUCUUAAUUAAAGGCUUUCUCUUAAAAGAGUUGCCUUGGUCAUGUUGUCUCUUCACAGCACUAUAGUUGCAGCAAAGUGACUAAGACAUAUCUGCCUCGGAGAUUGACACUGCUGUCGGAGGAAUGGAUGUUGACUGCUUUACUUACUUCCUGCUCAGAGGAGUGGCAUCUAGAGAUAAAUGUAGCCCUCACUCGUCAUAAAAGAAGCAUGUCUUUGCAGAAAACAGACAAUUUCAGAAAACUGCAGCUAGUCAAAAUGCAGUGAAGAACUGAAUGUAGGUUUGCCCAAGCACCUCUGAAGUUCAUGAAACAUCAUAGAAGGAUGGAAAGUUUUAAACCAGAAUCCUUCUGUGCCAAAUCCUUGUACUUAAGAAGUCACUGGCAGCAACUUAGAGGUCUGCUGAAGUGUUUGCAAAUGCCUACGAUCCUAGCAUGUGCUCAGGAGGAGCUGGCUGGCCCUGGACAAGGUCCUGUUGCACUUUCCCAGGGCUCAGGUAUGCAUCUAAACUGUCUCUUAUGAGCAUGUUGGAAUCAGGAAAGUUAUGCACAUCAAUGUCUGUAAGGCUCAGAAUAUCUAAUGGAAAUAGUGCUUACAGGAAGCAGAUGAGCUCUACGGUGAGUGGCUGCUUACUGCUACUGUCCUUGUCAGAAUAGACAUAGUAAUUUUGGAGAUGGGUCAUAGCUCUUGAGUGGAGUAUGGCCAUAUGUUUGAAGUGACCCAGGAUAUGUCUUUGAUUUAUUAUAAAAUAGUCACUGCCCAGAGAGCCGCAUGUGGCAGGUGAGGUCAAGGUCAGUGCUUGGCUUUGUGGCGCUGUGCAACUGUCCUCACCCCAUACGUGGGAGGUGACUCAGGCCACUGUAGGAAGGAGUUAUUCAGAAAAAUACUUUUUGAUGACCUAAUUUUGGGCAGUUGAAAGUGCCACAUUAUUGCUGAAAUGAACUUUGGACAACAGAGUGACUUUCUGUCUGCUUUCAGUCCUCUUUUCCACACUCUACUUCUUUUGCUGCUGUACCAGCAAUGGUGAAGAAAGAUAAUAUUUGACCUUCCAAUGGGACAGAUUGGGAGCAAUAGAGGUAUAACAAUCUAAAGCAUUUUAGAAGAUUCUUUGUGAGAACAAUUUUAGGUUAUUCUUAAAGAUACUCAUUAGCAAAUUCAUUGGUAUACAUAUAUUUCUGUUUAACUUCUUUUGAUGCUGUUAUUAAGAAAAGUUAAAUGUCUAGCAACAUGUAUACAGUGGUAUCAAACAGGUACUCUUUUGGUAUUCUGAAACCAAAGUCAAAGAAGUGUUUCUCCAUCACCUGAAGCUUCCUUUAUUCCUUUAAUGCAUUCCACCAUGGAGUAAUAUGGUAUCAAAUCGAUGUGUGUGUGUGUGUGUGUGUGUGUGUGUGUGUGUGUGUGCGUGCAUGCAUUUAUAUAUCAGUGUGUAUACAGUUAAUGUGAAUUUUAAAUGUAUAAACAAUGUAUACACUAUAGAUACUAUAUGUAACCCCAAUUUCCCUCUCCAACUUCUGUCAUGUCCCCCCAAACAUGCCUGCUCCUAAUUUCAUAUCUUUUUUUGUAACUCUAUUAGUCCAAUUAUUGUUCCCCAUAGGAAACCUACUCAAGACCCAGCUAUACCACUUCUGAGCAUAUACCCAAAAGAUGCUCCACCAUUCCACAAAGACACUUACUCAACUAUGUUCAAAGCAGCUCUUUUCAUAAUAUCCAGAAACUGGAAACAGCCUAGAUGUCCCUCAACUGAAGAACGAAUAAAGAAAAUUUGGUACAUUUACACAGUGGAAUACCAUUCAUCUAUUUAAAAAAGGAUAUCAUGAAUUUGACAGGCAAAUGGAUGGAACUGGAGAAUAUCAUCCUGAGUGAGACAGGGAUCAAGCAUGGCUGUUCUCUGAGAGGCUCCACCCAGCAGCUGACUCAGAGGGAUGCAGAGACCACAGCCAAACAGUGGACAGAGCUUGAGCACUCUUAUGGAAGAGUAGGAGGAAGGAUUGCAGCCCUGAAGGGACAGGAACUCCACAGGAAGACUAACUGAGUCAACUAACCUGGACCGUUAUGGCUCUCAGAGACUGAACUACCAACCAAAGAGCAUACAUGGGCUGGACCUAGGCCUCUUCACACAUGUGUAGCAGAUGUGCAGUUUAGUUUUCAUGUGGGUCCUAAACAACUGGAGUAGGGGCUGUCCCAAAAGCUGUCACCUACAUGUAGGCUAUGGUCGUCUAGCUGGGCUGCCUUGUCUGGCCUUGUGUGAGAGAGGAAGUGCCUAGCCCUGCAGAGACUUGAAGUGCCAGGGUGGGGAGAUAGCCAGGGAGCCCCCAACUGCUCAGAGGAGAAAGGGAGGGAAGGAUGGUAGAGAAGGAUUGUGGGAGGGGGUGACUGGGAGUGGGCAGUGAGUGGUAUGUAAAGUGAAUUAAAAGAUUAUAAAAAUUGUAUGUUUAUCAGUACUGUUAAGCUCAGUUGCAGAGAAGAGUGCCAUGAAGCAUGUAUACUGAGCGCACUCCGCAGUGUGUUUACUGAGAUGGUACACUGUUUAACAUGUUAGAGACUGCCAUUUUAAACUAGCACGCAUCUUCCUCAGAUUUAUCUGAGAUCAUGAAUUUAGGACUAUUUCAUUGUGUUUUGACUGAUUUUGUUGGCUUAUAUAUUUUAUUAUCUCUUUACAUAGAAUUGUUGAUUUCCAAAAUGGGGGUGAGGGUCUAAUGAAAACCUGCCAGGCAGACCAUCUAAGCUACCUGCUCUUCAACCUUGCUUCAACUUAACGAGCAUCAAUCAAGCCAAGCUAUCAAAAGCUUUUCUUUAAGGGGCAAGUCCUGAGGAACACACUUCUCUGAGUUUGGGCUGACAUCGUCUUGUGCAGUAUUGUGAAGGUUAAUGUCCUAACAUCCCUGAAGGAUGGACUACAAGCUACCAAAAGAAGUACCAUGUGCCACAAGACAGACGAUUUGGUCAUAAGGUUUUAUAACAGAGGUGCAGACCCCAAUAUUCCAGACAGAGAUCAUUACAGAAAAGAACCAGCAUCGAACUGCAGAAUCGUGGAACGCAGCCACAACGGAUGCAUCUACAAGAGAGCUGCAUCUCGGGCUCAGGGAAUAUUUUGGAAGAGGGGGCAGAAACAGUCUAAGAACUAGAGGAUCAGGGAACAGGAGGCAAGGCUGUGUCUCCUGAGAAUGCCAGAAGCUGCCCACAAAGUCUCAGCAACACGACUGUCCCACCAUGAGCUGAUCAAGGCCAACAGUAGACAUGCCAAAUAGGGCAGGGGAAGGCCCAUGAGGCCUCACCUUCUAUCCAAAGGACAAGGGGAAACUAAGGAGUGCUGAGAGCUAGGGAAAUAGGCUUCCCCAGGGAAGAACACAACAGUUGUUUAUCUCCUACCAAAGGCCAGUCUGGAAACAUGCAUCCCAGUCACCUCAUAAAGCCUGAGUAGGUUAUAUUCAGAAAUAUGUAUGCGUGCACACAAAUACACAGAUAUGUGAGCAGGAAAAAACAAUUGAUGAAGAAAGGGGUCAUUUGAAAGAGAAGAAGGAAGGGUGGGUGUGAGUCUUUGGGGGUAGAAAAGGAGGUAGAGGACAGAUGUAAUCACAAUCACAAAAAAAAAAAAAAAAAGAAAGAAAAGAAAUCUUUUAGUUGCCAGCUGAAUUUAGUAAGAUUCUGUAUGGCUGUUGCCUAAGUCCUAACUUUUGGUUGACCUUUUCCACAACCCCAUUACCCCCAGCACCAUCCCCUUUAUUAAGGCUUUCUAUGCCCGGGAUCCUCCCAACUCCAUGCUCGUAUCCCAGGCAUUUUACUGCCUCAAGACCACCUCUCAUGGCUCCUUUCUUGUCCCAUGACGUCUACCAACAACAACUCCUAUUUAAUCUGAUCUUGACCAUGACCUGUGCAGACACUCAUAUUCGAACAAAGAAAUGUAAAACUGUGAUAUUGGUGUCCAUAUAAGAGAGAACAUAGGUGGCUUCUGAGGCCGUUUUGGCAAAGAUUCGAAAAAGAUACAUUGGAGAAGAGGCAGCCAUCUUCAUUGACAAAUAGUCCUGGGGAGAACAUGUCGAAGGCUAAAAUCAGGUCUCUAACUUUAGACUCCAGAAAUAUCAGAUCUAAAUGGAUAGAAGAUUGAAAUUCUGAGGAUCCCAGGGGAAAAUGCAGGGAUGUUUCCUCCAGAGAAGGGGGUAGCCAUGAACAUUUGUCAAAGGUUGAACAACUCCAGAAUUGGUCUACACAUUUGGGAGGUGGGAUUCUGAGAAAUGAACAACCAUGUUCAUAGUAAAAACAAAUCAAUUUCCAGAGUGAAGAGACAGAAUUCACACUGGGUGAAAAAACCUGGUGACACGAGUCAUCGUACAGAGACUCGAUGAAAUAUAUACAUGAUUCAGGCAACUACAAAAGAACCAAACGGCUCAAAUAACAGUAACUAAAACACAUUUCCCACGAUGUAUAAUAUAUAUGACAUGUAUAAUAUAUACAACAUGUAUAUAAACAUGAGGGAGACUCUGAUAAGGUGGACAAAGUAGGUGGGAGAAUUUGUAUGAGAAGCAAAAGGAGCACAGGAGACUUGGAAAUGGGUAAGGUCUGCUUUACAUUUGAAAGUCUAAUGCAUUAGACCCACCACCAUUAGCACCAUGGGUACACUGUUAUAAAGUGGGUGAAUCGGGCUGGAGACAUGGCUCAGAGGUUAAGAGCGCUGUCUUCUACAAAGGACCCGGUUCUGAUCCCAGCUCCACGUAAGCACACCUCACAACCGUCUAUACCUCCAGUUCCAGUGGAUCUGACCUCGUCUUCUGGCCUCCGACGCCUCAGGCACUCUUAGAGGGCAAACGCAUGCAUGCAGCCAAUCAGUCAAACAGGCAAAAAUAAAAAUGAAUCAAUCAUUGAACAA